rnacentral:rRNA from 1 species
CAAAACGACUCUCGACAACGGAUAUCUCAGCUCUUGCAUCGAUGAAGAACGUAGCGAAAUAUAAUACGUGGUGUGAAUUGCAGAAUCUCGUGAACCAUCGAGUUUUUGAACGCAAGUUGCACCCAAAGCCUUUUGGUUGAGGGCACGUCUGCCUGGG